GAUGUGCAGUGAGGUGGUGUUCUCGAAUGGUUCCGCUAGAAGUGGCUUGGCAAUUACACUUAUUCCAGGACCUUCUUGCCUUGAACAAUGAUGGGACAAACCAAAAAUGGUGCCAAAAGUUUAUUUGAAAAGCGAGGGGAGAAACUGGCUCUGCAGAGUGAACUUGGGCCAAACAAAAAGAGGAGAAGAGGAAAAAGAACAAAAGGAGAAGGACACUCUGAUCUAGAAGACAUAGAGAAGACAUUCACUUAUAUACUGGUGUGUGUUUGGAGUGAACUUGGAUGA
rnacentral:lncRNA from 1 species